rnacentral:rRNA from 1 species
AUUGAACGCUGGCGGCAUGCUUUACACAUGCAAGUCGAACGGCAGCGCGGGCUUCGGCCUGGCGGCGAGUGGCGAACGGGUGAGUAAUGCAUCGGAACGUGCCCAGUAGUGGGGGAUAGCCCGGCGAAAGCCGGAUUAAUACCGCAUACGACCUGAGGGUGAAAGCGGGGGACCGAAAGGCCUCGCGCUAUUGGAGCGGCCGAUGUCGGAUUAGCUAGUUGGUGGGGUAAAGGCUUACCAAGGCGACGAUCCGUAGCUGGUCUGAGAGGACGACCAGCCACACUGGGACUGAGACACGGCCCAGACUCCUACGGGAGGCAGCAGUGGGGAAUUUUGGACAAUGGGGGCGACCCUGAUCCAGCCAUGCCGCGUGCGGUAAGAAGGCCUUCGGGUUGUAAACCGCUUUUGUUCGGGAAGAAAUCCUCUGGGCUAAUACCCCGGGGGGAUGACGGUACCGGAAGAAUAAGCACCGGCUAACUACGUG